AUUCAGCUGACGAGUCCCAAAUAGAACUGAAUGGUGCAUCAAACUGGAU
rnacentral:hammerhead_ribozyme from 1 species